rnacentral:rRNA from 1 species
AGAUUGAACGCUGGCGGCAUGCUUUACACAUGCAAGUCGAACGGUAACAGGCCGCAAGGUGCUGACGAGUGGCGAACGGGUGAGUAAUGUAUCGGAACGUGCCCAGUCGUGGGGGAUAACGCAGCGAAAGCUGCGCUAAUACCGCAUACGAUCUAUGGAUGAAAGCGGGGGACCGUAAGGCCUCGCGCGAUUGGAGCGGCCGAUAUCAGAUUAGGUAGUUGGUGGGGUAAAGGCUCACCAAGCCAACGAUCUGUAGCUGGUCUGAGAGGACGACCAGCCACACUGGGACUGAGACACGGCCCAGACUCCUACGGGAGGCAGCAGUGGGGAAUUUUGGACAAUGGGCGCAAGCCUGAUCCAGCAAUGCCGCGUGCAGGAAGAAGGCCUUCGGGUUGUAAACUGCGUUUUUGUACGGAACGAAACGGUCUGGUUAAUACCGUGGGCUAAGUGACGGUACCGUAAGAAUAAGACACCGGACUAACUACGUGCCAGCAGCCGUA